rnacentral:rRNA from 1 species
GACGAACGCUGGCGGCGUGCUUAACACAUGCAAGUCGAACGGACUCCAACCGGUGGCAACACCGGGGAAGAGUGAGUGGCGAACGGGUGAGUAACACGUGAGCAACCUGCCCCGGAGACCAGGAUAACACCGGGAAACCGGUGCUAAUACCGGAUGUCCUCAGCGGACCGCAUGAUCUGCUGAGGAAAUGGAUUCCGCUCCGGGAGGGGCUCGCGGCCUAUCAGCUUGUUGGUGGGGUAACGGCCUACCAAGGCGUCGACGGGUAGCUGGUCGGAGAGGACGAUCAGCCACACUGGGACUGAGACACGGCCCAGACUCCUACGGGAGGCAGCAGUGGGGAAUCUUGCGCAAUGGGGGAAACCCUGACGCAGCAACGCCGCGUGCGGGAUGAAGGCUCUCGGGUUGUAAACCGCUUUCAGCAGGGACGAAUUCAGACGGUACCUGCAGAAGAAGCCCCGGCCAACUACGUGCCAGCAGCCGCCGUAAGAC